UACGUAGGUGGCAAGCGUUGUCCGGAAUUAUUGGGCGUAAAGGGCGCGUAGGCGGCUUGGCAAGUGGAUGGUGAAAUCCCUCGGCUUAACCGAGGAACUGCCGCCCAAACUGCUUUGCUUGAGACCGGGAGAGGUGAGUGGAAUUCCCAGUGUAGCGGUGAAAUGCGUAGAUAUUGGGAGGAACACCAGUGGCGAAGGCGGCUCACUGGACCGGUACUGACGCUGAUGCGCGAAAGCGUGGGGAGCAAACGGG
rnacentral:rRNA from 1 species